CCCUGUGUCUGUUACCACUCAUUAAUUAACGGAUGUAUAUUGUUACGUGCCUCUUUCCACACUGAGAGCAGUGGUAAGGUGUUUCCCCUGUGUCUGUUACCACUCAUUAAUUAACUGAUGUAUUAUUGUUAAAUAUCUCUUUCCACACUGAGAGCAGUGGUAAGGUGUUUCCCCUGUGUCUGUUACCACUCAUUAAUUAACGGAUGUAUUAUUGUUACGUGUCUCUUUC